ACCUGGCUAGCUUAGUCUGCAGAGCAUGAGACUCUUGUUCUCGGAGCUGUGGGUUCGAGCCCCACGUUGGAUG
rnacentral:tRNA from 1 species